rnacentral:misc_RNA from 1 species
UUCCCCCCAUUCCGAGUAGACCCAACGAACUGAUCACAUCUUUGGUUCAGAACUCCGUACUAUACUCUGGAUAAGUUGUAUUAAAAAUGUGUUUGUGAAAGAAAACCUAUAUAGAGUUUCAAUCUACAUACAUAUGUGUACAGUGUUGUUUUAAGAAAGUAGAACAAAAACCUAAAUAUAGUACUUAAACAAUGAGGCUGAAAGCGCUUUGGAUAUCCCCUUUGUUCCUCUUUUGUAUCAUUGUGGACUACGUAAAGACUGAUGGAACAGGAUCACCCUGUUACGAGGAUGGGGAUUUUUCUAAACCACAAAAAUGCAUGCCAGCAUUUAAAAAUGUGGUCCUCCAAAAGAAAGUUCAUGUUUCUCCAGAGUACAUAACAUGUGGCCAAGGGCGGGUUAUCGAAUAUUGCAUUCAGACUCAUGGAAUAGAUCGUGAAUGUAAUUUUUGUGACAACAGUGUUCCUUCAAAUAAACAUCCUCCGCAAUUUUUGACAGAUGUUGAUACAGAUUUUAAUCGAACUUGGUGGCAGUCUGUGACUAUGUUGGAGGACGUGCACAUGGCUGAUGUUAAUCUCACCGUCAAUUUAGGAAAGGCUUAUGAUAUCACCUACGUUAGAUUAAAGUUCAAAUCUCUACGCCCGGAUAGUUUUAGUAUUUAUAAGAAAAAUCGGGUACAACCCAAACUGGAAGAUCCUGAGCCUAAUGAAGGAUGGAUACCAUGGCAGUACUAUUCAAAUACAUGUCGAGACACCUACAAAUUAACAGACUCUACCUCAAUUAUUCAACCCAGGGACGGAGUAAUGAAGAUCAAUGAGGACCGUGCAUUAUGUACGUCUGAGUUUUCUGACAUGACACCUUUGACCGGAGGUAACGUUGCCUUCUCUACCCUUGAAGGUCGACCCUCAGCCUAUAACUACGAAUAUAGUCCAGAACUUCAAGAUUGGGUCUCAGCAACGGACAUUAAAAUAUCUUUUCAGAGAUUAAAUACUUUUGGUGAUGAAGUAUUUCAAGAUCCUAAGGUAUUGAGAUCCUACUACUAUGCUGUCACGGACUUCACUGUUGGAGGAAGAUGUCAGUGCAAUGGUCAUGCAACACAUUGUAUUAAUACCAUUGAGGAUGAUCCCCAGAGUCCAACAGUUUGUCUUUGUCAGCAUCAAACUGAAGGGCCAAAUUGUGACUCAUGUCUUCCAGAUCAUUGGGAUCGACCAUGGAGAAGAGCAACAUCGGAUAACGCCAAUGAAUGCAAGCCUUGUGAGUGCAAUGGAUGGUCCAUGAGAUGUCGCUUCAAUGAACAAUUAUAUAUGGAGAGCGGACAUGGUGGAGAGUGCAUGGACUGUGAAGGGAAUCGAGGUGGUGCUCACUGUGAAGUUUGUAAAUCAAAUCAUUACUUUUCUCCUGUCCCUGAUGCAGAUGACAGAAUUCCUUGUGAGCCCUGUAAUUGUGAUCCCACGGGCUCCAAAACACUCCAAUGUGCUGAUAAUGGAAUUUGUGACUGUAAGCCUGGUGUAACAGGGGAAAAGUGUAAUCAAUGUAAAGCAGAUUUUUGGAAUUUUGGUACACUUGGUUGUAAGGAGUGUGGAUGCUUACCAGAGGGUUGUAUCGGAAACAAAGCAUCAUGUGAUACGAAAACGGGAUAUUGUCACUGUAAACAAAAUGUUGAAGGACAAAGGUGUGAUCGUUGUAUGGCUGGGCACUUUCAUAUUGAUCCAGAAAAUGAAUUUGGAUGUACACCUUGUUUUUGCUAUGGGCAUACCUCUGAGUGUGAACUGAGUGGAGGAUACACCAAAUUCUCUAUUCUUAGCGAUUUCUCUAGAAGUAGUGAGGAUUGGACAUCUUUUGAACAAGAUGAAUCUUUACCACUUAGAUAUGAUGGUAUCAACAAACUCAUCGGCGUUCAAUCUCUUCCUAUACAAGGAAGUCAAUCUGGAGGCGCUUAUUUUUAUGCUCCUCCUGCCUUUUUGGGGGAUCUGAGAGCAAGUUACAAUCAAGAGUUAAGCUUUAGACUUAGGAUAAAUAAUGCAGGUCCACGACCUGAUAGGUAUGAUAUCAUUAUUCAAGGAGGAGGUGUGAAAGAAACAAUGAUUUCUCUUCCCAUUACCAAACAAAAUAACCCUAUGCCCAAUUACGAGAUGCAAGACUAUAAGUUUCGACUUCAUGAAAACCCGGAAUUUGGGUGGAGUCCAACCCUUAGCUCCAAAGAUUUUAUGUCAAUACUUGCAAAUGUAUCGGCUAUUAAAGUUAGAGGAACAUAUGUAACACAAGGAAUGGGAUUUUUAGAUGAGGUAAAACUUGGUACGGCUCGUAGAGGGGUUACAGGACCUCAAGCAACCUGGAUUGAAAGAUGCAAUUGUCCUGAGGGAUAUCAAGGUCAAUAUUGUCAGUUUUGUAUGCCUGGGUACCAUCAUAAAAACAAUGGAGGUCCUUUUGCUAGAUGUAUUCCUUGUAGUUGUAACGGACAUGCUGAUAUUUGUGAUACCGAGUCUGGCAAAUGUGAAUGUAAGGAUAAAACGGAUGGGCAAAAUUGUGAAAAGUGUGCACGAGGAUACUACGGAAAUGCUCUAAACGGUAGUCCAAAUGACUGCCAAGCCUGUCCUUGUCCGAAGGGAGGAGCUUGCUUAGAAAUUGCUGGUAAUCCAGAAUCCCCUAUUUGCAUCGAAUGCCCAGAUGGUAGGACUGGACCUCGUUGUGAACUUUGUAAGGAUGGAUAUUUUGGAGAUCCCAUGGGUCAAAAUGGAGAGGUAAGACCCUGUCAGAGAUGUGAAUGCAAUGAUAAUGUGGAUCCGAAUGCCAUUGGUAAUUGUGAUCGAGUUACUGGUGAAUGUUUGCGAUGUAUUGAUAAUACGGAUGGUUUCAACUGUCAACAAUGUAAAUCUGGUUUCUUUGGGGAUGCCCUUGCCAUUAAAAAACCCGGAGAUCCUCCAAAUUGUCAACAUUGUCAAUGCUACCCUGUGGGAACGAACUUGGAUACUGAAACAUUCCUGCCCAUAUGCAAUGGUUUUACUGGAGAUUGUAGCUGUAAGCCCCAUGUUGUAGGUAGAGAUUGCGAAAAAUGCGCAAAUGGAUAUUUUAACAUUGAUAGUGGUGAGGGAUGUGAACCGUGUAAUUGUGACUCAACAGGCUCCAAAAACGAAAGUUGCCACGUGGAAACGGGACAAUGUAACUGUAACGAAGGAGUCACAGGUCAGAGAUGUGACACUUGUAUGGCUUUCCACUAUGGUUUCUCCCAAGAUGGAUGUAAACCUUGCGACUGUGAUCCCUCUGGAUCAACUGAUCUCCAAUGUGAUUUUGUAACAGGGCAAUGUCCUUGUCGUGAAAAGGUAGAGGGACGUAAAUGUGAUCGUUGUAUGGAAAACACCAAGUCACAACAAAUAGGCCCUUAUGGAGGAGAAAAAAUUUGUGAACCUUGUGAUGAUUGUUAUAAUUUAGUAUUAGACUCAGCUAAUCGACAUAGAAAUAAUUUAGAGACAUUGGAAAAUUUGUUGCAACAAAUAGCUGAAAAUCCUGAACCAGUGGGCGAUGACUUUGAGUAUCAAUUGCGAGGCUUGAGAGUUAGAGUUGCUCAAACACUUGUAGAUGCAAGGAUUAGCUCACAAAAUGAGGAAGGAAAUACUCUGCGAGGAAGAUUGGAGGAACUCCGGUUAAAAUUAGAAGAAGUUAUUAGUCAGGUCAUGGAAGCCAAUCGACAAAUUGAAACUGCCAAACAGCAUGGUGUAGAAGCAGAUGACAAAGUGAGGAACGCCAAAGAAGUUAUUGAAAGAGCCAAAGAAUCUUUGAAGGUUUCCCAAAGACAACUUGAAACUCAAGGAAGAGAUGCCCUCAUGAAAGCUCAAGAAAAAUCGAAAAAGUUUGGACGUGAAAGUGACAAAAUGUCUGCCAUUGCACGAGAGGCCGGAAAUUUAGCUGAAAAACUUGUGGAGGAUGCCUCUGAAAUUACGAGCAUUGCUCGCCAGGCCUCAAAUACUUCUUCAAAAGCCUAUGAAAUGACUCGUGAAGCUCUAGAGGAACAACACAUUGAAGCAAAUCAAAUUGAUAUCCUCAAUCACCAAGUUGAUGAAAUGGGUGAAAAACUUAGAUCCGUACAAAGUCUUGCAAACGUAGCUCUACGCGAAGCGAACGAAGCCUAUCAGCAGGCAUUAAUUAUUCUUCGUCAGGCUAAAGGUCUUGAAAUACCUCAAGUCAACUCAGAGGAAGUGAGUGAAAAAGCUUCACAAGUCGAAGUCGAUGCAGAGCGUAUACGAGGUGAGGCUGAGAGACUGAUCCAAGACAACAUGGAGCUCCUUCAACAAACUCAAGAUAAACGUGCCAUGCUUGAGGAACUACUAAAUAGAGCCAAUGUUCAACAACAAGAGGUUGAUCGGCAGUUGGCAGACAUGGAUGAAUUUAGGAAUAGAGCUAUCAAUGCUGUCAAAUCUGGGAAUGAUAUUUUGAAGGAUGCGCAAGCUACCUUGGAAACAUUGCAAGCAUUUGGAGGUCAUGUUGAUGAAAAUCGUGAUUCUGCAAAGGAAGCAAUGAAAAAUGUUGACUACAUUGAAAAUAUCAUUCGGGACUCAGAAGGUAAAACCAAUGAGGCAAGAGAGUCUUUGAGUGGAGCGGACACGUAUGCAAAUCUCUCAUUGAGCGUCGCUAAACAUGCCAAGGAUAUUGCAGAAGAAGCGUCUGUCAAUGCUGAUAAAAUUGUGAAUGAAUCUGCAGUCACAUGGGAGCAAGCCAAGGAGCUCUCCUCCUCUGUGGCUUCUCUUGAAGAUAAAAUGGAGGAAACAAAGAGUAUUAUAGAAGAAAAGGAACUAGUAGCUGAACAAGAUGGACAACUAGCCAAAACGGCUUUGGCUAAAGCUAAUGAGGCUCAGAUCAAGGCACGAGAUGCCGUUGAGAAGGUUAACAAUGCUAAAAAGGAAUUGGAUAACAUUGCUGUCAUACUCGCAAAUGUGCAAGAGCCUGAGCCGGGUCUAAUCGAGAGAUUAGAGGUACGAGUUCAAAUGGCCGAAGAAAAAUACAAGGCUGCUGAUUUAGAAUUACGACUUAAGGAAUUGGAAGAGGCGAAGCAAAGACAGGCAGAGCGGAUACGUUAUUUUAUGAGCUCACUCAAUGUAAUCAAAAUGAAAUUGGGAAGUAUCGAAGAGAUCAGAAGGGCUCUUCCCAACACUUGCUGGAAUAAAAUUAGACUUGAGCCCUAGGAAAAAAUAAUCUUUUCAAAAAAGAUAUUAUAUUCCAAUCCGUCGAUACUAUGUGUGAUAAAUUUGUUAGCUAUUCAAGUUCGAGAUUUAGAGAGAGAAUUAAAUUAUAUGUUGGAGGAGUCAAGGAAUAUACAGGAGAUUCGAGACACUCUUCCGGAUUUUUGUCCGAAAAACGAUGACCUCUGCAUCGAGGAUCAAUGUUAGAACAAAACAUAAUUCGUUCAAUUUUUGUGCCUGUCUUUCGAAUGGAUCCCUUCUUACCUCAUCCAUCUUAAGGAAUUACAGAGACAAUUUCUUUCCAAAUAAAUCACUUGUUAUAUUUAUAAGUCUAUAAUAACUACAUAAUAUAUGUAUAUUCCUAAUGUAA